rnacentral:rRNA from 1 species
GACAGAGGUCUCGAGCGUUAGGCGGAAUCACUGGGCUUAAAGCGUGUGUAGGUGGAUGCCUAAGUACCUUGUGAAAUCCCACGGCUUAACCGUGGAAUUGCUUGGUAUACUGGGUGUCUUGAGCCAACUAGGGGCAACCGGAACAAAUGGUGGAGCGGUGAAAUGCGUAGAUAUCAUUUGGAACGCCAAUGGUGAAAACAGGUUGCUGGGGUUGUGCUGACACUGAGACACGAAAGCCAGGGGAGCAAACGGG